AAGAGCUUCAAACCAUUCUGAAUGAGCCCAAUCUCGUCUGAUCUCAGAAGCUAAGCAGGGUCGGACCUGAUUUGUACUUGGAUGGGAGACAAAUCUUCAGAAGAGGCUGCUC
rnacentral:rRNA from 1 species